rnacentral:rRNA from 1 species
GACGGGGAUGCAAGUGUUAUCCGGAAUCACUGGGCGUAAAGGGUGCGUAGGCGGGUCUUUAAGUCAGGGUGAAUCUGGAGCUCAACUCCAGAACUGCCCUUGAUACUGAAGGUCUUGAGUUCGGGAGAGGUGAGUGGAACUGCGAGUGUAGAGGUGAAAUUCGUAGAUAUUCGCAAGAACACCAGUGGCGAAGGCGGCUCACUGGCCCGUAUACUGACGCUGAGGCACGAAAGCGAUGG